GGGGAAUCUUCCGCAAUGGGCGAAAGCCUGACGGAGCAACGCCGCGUGAACGAAGAAGGCCUUCGGGUCGUAAAGUUCUGUCCUCAGGGAAGAACCCUCAUGGUAGGGAAUGACCAUGAGCUGACGGUACCUGGGAAGGAAGCCCUGGCUAACUACGUGCCAGCAGCCGCGGUAAUACGUAGAGGGCAAGCGUUGUCCGGAAUCACUGGGCGUAAAGGGUACGUAGGCGGAUAUAUAAGUCAAAUGUGAAAGGCACCGGCUUAACCGGUGAGCUGCAUUUGAAACUGUAUAUCUUGAGUUCAGGAGAGGAGAGUGGAAUUCCCGGUGUAGCGGUGAUAUGCGUAGAUACCGGGAGGAACACCAGUGGCGAAGGCGGCUUUCUGGACUGCACCUGACGCUGAGGCGCGAAAGCCAGGGGAGCGAACG
rnacentral:rRNA from 1 species